rnacentral:rRNA from 1 species
ACUCAAAGGAAUAGACGGGGACCCGCACAAGCGGAGGAUGAUGUGGUUUAAUAUGACGGUACGCGUAGAACCUUACCAAGGCUUGACAUCCUGGGAAUCUGCUAGAGAUAGCGGAGUGCCUUCGGGAGCCCAGUGACAGGUGCUGCAUGGCCGUCGUCAGCUCGUGUCGUGAGAUGUUGGGUUAAGUCCCGCAACGAGCGCAACCCUUGUCGUAUGUUGUAUUUUUCAUACGAGACUGCCCGGGCCAACCGGGAGGAAGGUGGGGAUGAGGUCAGGUCGGCAUGGCCCUUACGCCUUGGGCCACACACGUCAUACAAUGGCCGGUACAACGCGUCGCUAAACCGCGAGGUGGAGCUAAUCGCACCAAAACCGGUCUCAGUUCGGAUUGCAGGCUGCAACUCGCCUGCAUGAAGUCGGAUUCGCUAGUAACCGUGGGUCAGCACACCACGGUGAAUACGUUCCCGGGUCUUGCACACACCGCCCGU